AACGAACGCUGGCGGCAUGCCUAACACAUGCAAGUCGAACGAACCCUUCGGGGUGAGUGGCGCACGGGUGCGUAACGCGUGGGAACCUGCCUUUUGGUUCGGAAUAACAGUUAGAAAUGACUGCUAAUACCGGAUAAUGUCUUCGGACCAAAGAUUUAUCGCCAUUAGAGGGGCCCGCGUAGGAUUAGCUAGUUGGUGGGGUAAAGGCUCACCAAGGCGACGAUCCUUAGCUGGUCUUAGAGGAUGAUCAGCCACACUGGGACUGAGACACGGCCCAGACUCCUACGGGAGGCAGCAGUGGGGAAUAUUGGACAAUGGGCGAAAGCCUGAUCCAGCAAUGCCGCGUGAGUGAUGAAGGCCUUAGGGUUGUAAAGCUCUUUUACUGGGGAUGAUAAUGACAGUACCCAGAGAAUAAGCCCCGGCUAACUCCGUGCCAGCAGCCGCGGUAAUACGGAGGGGGCUAGCGUUGUUCGGAAAUACUGGGCGUAAAGCGCACGUAGGCGGCGAUUCAAGUCAGAGGUGAAAGCCCGGGGC
rnacentral:rRNA from 1 species